CCAUGUUAAUAGUUUAUGUUUUACGUCUGCUGUGCUACCCUGAAAAAACAAAGUCAACAAGAGCAAGCAUUGGUUAUGAUGGCCCUUCUGGUCUCAGCACAACAUGAUGCCUUCCUUGCUUUAAAAACAAAAGGCAGGGAAAUGUAGCCGCCCCUGACACAGGAAGGGUUAAUAAUCACUGGAAAAAGCUUGCCAACAAACUGUGACCCGGAGGUGAGAAGGCCAGUUAGCCAAUGACGGGUAAGACCCCCUGGGGGGCAACCUAAGCCAGGCGGCGGCCGCCCGGGGGCACAGAUGGAGAAACGAUAUCGAUAUCGGGAGCAAGAGGGACCGUUGCCUAAGAGACCUUGCCUGCUCUGAGAUAAAAAUAUAGGAGCACAGCAACAACAUGAUAAUAUCAAAACAGAGGCCAAGAGAGGGCUCCUUGAGAAAUCACUAAGAAUUCUUGGCAUUCGCUAAUUACUUCAUCCAGAACACCUGUGUAUGUUUAACAGAUGUAAGCUAUGUAUAUAUUGAAACGCUGGUUAUAAUAAACUCAGAGUGGCCAUCAGCCCUCUCCGCAUCUAUCCUGAUGUGUACAUUGGAUUGUGACACCGACAGGUACAGAUGGCAAGAAUGAAGGGAACAUUAGCCAGUUCUGCCCUAGUUCAAUAAAAUUAUUAAGCACGUAUCCCCCAAUCAGAGGAAAGUGAAUGAUGUGUUUUAAAAAAAAGUGCCAGCAGCAGAAUUACUCUAAGACUGAAAGGCUCCCAGCACAACUUGGAAGUUUCUGUUACUGAUUUCAAAUGAGAAUUAUUGUUAAUAGGAAUAAAGUUAUUAUCGGCAUGAAUCACAGACACAGAAACCUGUUAACUUAAUAAUGUGGCAAACGUACUAUUAAUCUUUAGUGAAGCAAUAUUAAUAUAUUGCCUAAUCUAAGAAAAGGCUCCAGUGUCUUGAAAGCUUGAAAUCAUUUCUGCUUCUGCCUCAAGUUCUGAAAUCAUCCCCUUUUAAAAUUUUAAAUACUUUUAUUUCACAUAAGCCUCUGAGUAUUCAGAAAUAAUUGCUGUCAAUAGAGAUUCAUUUUCACCUUUGAAUGGCCAGUAAUGUCAAAUGGCAACGUCAUUGGCCUUCAUAUCAACAUAUUUUAAAUGUAUGUCUUGGAACUGAAGGUCAAUAAUGGCUACUAAAUUUAAAAUAUGGAAUUCUAUGAUGUUUUAUUCUUGGUACUUUGAUUGCCUUUAUACUGGUGAUUAUUUCAUCUGAAGGCAAAAAUCGAAUUCCAGCCUAUCUCAAUGGAAGUUCCUUUGCCUCCCUUGAGUACAUUUGAACCAUUUUCUUUGAAGUUUCUAGCACAACACUAGUAUAUAUAAUUUUGGAAACUAUACAGUCUGUAUCAGGGAUUUUUAACCCAGCUGCAAGACAGGCAUUGUGGGUAAUAGCAAAGUAUGGGAGUUGAUAUGAGUCCUAAAUUGGGAUGGCUGCUCUGUCAUAUAUUAGGAGGGUGACAUCGAACAAGUUGCAAGUUACUUAAUGUCUCUGAGCCUCGGAUUAAGGUUAACAGUAUCAGACAUAUAGGCUUGCUGUGGGGAUUAAAUUAGAUACUGUGAAGUCAUCUUUUAGAAGCUGUAACACGUAUAGGUGAUCAAUAAGUAUUAGUUUUUGUUCUUUGCAAUAAACUGGGCAUCUAGAUUUGGUGAGAUGCUUAAAAAUUAGUUUAUCAAAAUUUAUUGUAAUUUAUAUCAAAUUUAAAAAUACAUGACGGUUUGCAGCGAAGGAUCCAAUUUAGCCAAAAGAAAUGCCAGAUGUCACUGCAUUAUGAAGAUAAAAAAUCAGUAAUUUGUGCUAUGUGCACACAAGGUUCAAGGCUAGCUAUAGACCACUUAGUAAUUUUAUACUCAUUAUUAAUUUCUCCGUUCUAAGAUGCUUUUAUGAUAUAAAUGAUCAUUAUAUGGGUAAUAUUUUUGUGCUUUUGUGCCAGCUAUUGCUAUUGUGGAGUCGAGGGGGAGGUUGAACCUGCUAAGUCAGUCUAGCUUUCAUAUAUUGUUUAGAAGAAGGGUUGGCAAACUUUUCUAUAAAGAGCCAGGUAGUAAAUAUUUCCAAAUAUGGAUUCUAUUGGAACUACACAACUCGGUUGUUUUCAUGCGUAAGCAGACACAGUACAACGAACAAAUCAGAGUGGCUGUGUUCAAAUAAAACUUUAUUUACUUAUUUUGGAAAGGAAAAUUGGCCCUGAGCUAACGUCUGUGCCCAUUCUCCUCCACUUUGUACGUGGCAUGCUGCCACAGCAUGGCUUGACGAGCAGUGUGUAGGUCUGCACCCAGGAUCCAAACCCAUGAACUCAGGGCCAUCAAAGCAGAGCCCGCAAACUUAAUCACUACACCACCGGGCCAGUUCCUAAAUAAAACUUUAUGAUGGACACUGAAUUUUUAAUUUCAUGUAAUUUUCAUGAGCCACAAAAUAUUUUUCUUCUUUUGACUUUUUUCAACCACUUAAAAAUGUAAAAACCUACUUACCUUGAAGUACACACAAAAAAAGGCAGUGGGCUGGACUUGGCUUCCAGACAGAAAUUUGCAGACUCCUGGUUUGGAGGAGCAAGCAUUGUACUAAAGGUCAAGAGUUCUUUCACAACUAUUCACUGUGUGACCUACCCGACUUCUCCAAAAUCAUUUAAUUUUCCUGAGCCUCAGUUUCCUCUUCAACAAAUGAAGUAAUUGAGUAAAUUAAUCCCUAAGUUUCUUUUCAGCUUUAUUGUUUUAUGAUUUAUGAGUAGAACUCACUCAUUAGCUUUCUAAUUUCUAAGUUGAGGUUAGCAAUGAAGAUAGUCCCAAAUUUCUUCAAAGACUUUUAUAAUCAUUGAUAUUGCUUCAUAAGUAAGUUAGUCUUUGACGCUUAACCACGUUAAAAUGUUUUAAAAAUCACAUAUAUUUAUAAAAGGUACUUUAGACUUAGUGCUUUCUUUUUGACUUCUCCACAGCAUAAGGACUGAUUCACCAAGGAACUAAGAGUAGGUGGGGAGAGAAUCACUUGCUCAUUAGGACUUAUACUUAAGAGCACAGUGGAGGUGGUACUCAAAUCAGUCAAUUUAGCUACUUGUUAGUACCAGUUUUUAAAGGCUUAAUGAAGGAGGAAGGCAAAAUGUUUAGCUAAGGGAAGGUUGGGUAAUUGUCCAUAGAGCCUAUAUUUUCAUGCCCUACUCUUAUGCCUUACGCCUGUGCACCCUGAAGUAUUGUCUGCCCCUCCUGACAGACAUUUAUAGUUCUACAGGAGAAACAGCAUACGCAGAUUCUCCUCAGGUAUGCCUCUGCUUGACCCCUCUUAGCUCUUGAAAUUACAGGCUAUAAUGAUUAGAAGCCUUUAUAGGAUAACUGCCUGACAAAGUGUAUGGGAAGCGCUUGCUGGGGUGAAAACAAACGUUUAUUUAUAAUGUUAAUGUGCAAUCAUUUGAUUGUUGUGGAGGUAGUGUUAAUUAUGCUUCCUUACCUGCAUAAUGCACAUUCUGUGUAGGAGCUGAGAAAUGAAGAUAGGGAGAAGGGUGAAAAACAAUUUGUGUCUUCUACAUGGAGUUCACUGUAGCAGCCACCAUUUUUUUCCUUGGCAUGGUCUAACCAGCUUGUCACGCCUCUGCCAAGAUGGCAAUAUCGCAGACAGCAUGUUUUCAGUGCAUUAACAAACACCCUAAAGGUUGUCAGGAGGGAGCAACCUGCAAAUAAUUGGAGAUAUUAUGUAUUAGUAAAGGAAUUGUUCUUCAGUUUUCCAAGAUGUCCAUCAGAAAGACAACAAUUGCAAGGAUAAAGGGAAGUAAAGUGACUGAGAAGGUUUUAGCACCUAAGGGGUUGAAUUCAAAGGAAGAAGCUUCUGACAACGGUUCUGGCAUCCUGGUGACCAGCCCAAGGUGGUGCCUGACAGCUGAUGUAAAAAAUGAAAAAGGUAAGAUCAAUGGGAACAUAUUAAAAAGGGAAGAAGAGUAACAAAAUAAAAGACCAAAGUAAAAGAUUUCAGAAUCUCUCAGAAGUCUCUAACUUGAACUCAUUAAUGAAUAAGACAACUUGGACUUUCUUUUACAGCCUUAACACAAAGAACCGAUCCUAUUUUUUAACGUAAAUGGUUAUAUAAAUAAUCCUCACUUUACUUGUCAGGGAGAGGAUGGUUUCUUACUUUGACAUGGAGAUGAAGGGAAACAUAGUCCCUGCUUUGACUUUAUCCUUGAAUUUCAGACAUAAGAUUAAACUUUGAACUCUUCAAUGACUUUGUACUUGUUGAUAGUGUCACUCAAAGUUCAGAUUGCAUUAGUUGGCUUUUGACUUUUCCAGUAGCUUCCUCUGGGGUUAUGUGGCUGUCGCGUUAGCAUCAGAAGCAUUUUAUGGCCUUAGAAGCUUGCAGUCACUUACUGCUAGUGAUUUGCAACCUCAUUGUUGUUCAUUUUAUGACCUUUCAGAUUCCACCUUUUCUUUGACUCCAUUAGGACUUCCUGAUACAAUGACAGAUUAGAGACCCCCAUUUAGUUAGCAGUUCAGCUGUGCCAUCAUAAUUGUUACAAUUUUUCAUAGCACCCCUUUUGACCAGAUAAAUAUUUUCACAAAUUAUAUAGACAUCAAACCAUGGUUGUAGAAUAAAUGGUAUAAUAAAUGUUGAAAAGUUUGAGUUUCUCCAAAGAAGGCCAAUAGAGAAACUCAAAGUAUAGUUUGAUGGUCAUUUUGAUUAUGUUCAAGUUUCCUGUGAUAAAAUUCCAGGUGAAAUGCAUUCUAACCAAGUUCAUUUAAAUGUCAUAGAGUAUUGGCUUUUAUUUUUAAAUAAAGAAUAUUUAUUAAUAUUUCUUUUUAUGAUUAUAAAGUGAUUAUAUUGACUUGAUCUCAGUUGUAAUAGAACUAUUAUGUCAGCUUUUGAUUAAUUGAGGAAGCUGGAACCCUCAGAAUUGAAUAUGGAGCCUUUAACCUCUAAGUCACUGAAUCAAAUCCAGCCCAAAUUGGUAGUGACCAAGAAUGAUUACAACGAUGGCUCUUUGGUGGCCUCUAUGAAGUGUAUUUAGGUCAGGUGGACGUAUGUCAGGAUAACUGCUGACAGAAGGACUCAUAUCUAUAGUUACUACUGCCUCUUCUUAGUCACUAUUGCCAAACACACAUGAAAGGCCCAGGGACUGAGAAAGCCAAGGGUGCAGAAGCACCCACGAGUAGCCAAGCUUUGUAUCUCUUAGAAAGAAGUAAUAAGGACUUCUCUUUAUUAUUGCUAUUAUGAGACAUUUCUAGCUAUUUAAAUGAGUUUACUUAAGGUUUUAGUAAGUUGAGAACUGAGAAUGUUUUCAUGAACAGUCUAGAUACUGAAUUUGAACAGGUCUGGGCUAGGAGCUUAACUUCCUGACCUCUGCUUAUGAGCUUGUCUCUGUUGCUCAUCAACUGUUCUCUGCUCUGCUCUUGCAAAACAGUGCUGUUCAGAUAGUAGGGUUGUUACUGGCAUCGUUACAACUUACUCUAUGCUUUCAAACAGGCUUUAUUACGAAACGCUAACUAUGUGCAUGGUGAAAGACUAUUGGCAAAGAGAUUCUCCCCAAUUUCUCCUUUACUUUUUAAAUUCAUUAUAUUGAAUAUAACGUUUUAAACUCUCUAUUCCUUUUUUGUAUAAACAAAUCACUGUCUGUUGCAAGAUAAAUUUGAAUCUGCUUUUAAUUCAUGAUAAAUUUAAUAAUUUUAUUGAACAGUUAAAUAUCAUUAUUGUAUUAUUUCUAAAGGAAAGUAGCUUAGAUUAGUGCUUCUUAAACCAGCUGUGUUAAAAGAUCAGUUUUUUAAAAAAAUUUCUCAACAAUUAUGUCAAUACAUUUGUGAAAUACACUAAAAAUGAAAUACAUAAAGAAUAAAAUAAGACAAAGGCAAACAAAAUAUGCGUUGAUAUUUUUAUUAUUAGAUUCAACAGAUGAAAAAAUAUAACUUUCCAUAAAUAUUUCUCCAUGUUUUCUCUCAGUGUCUGAAUUUAUUUGUCUGCAUAUCGGUAACAAAAAGUCCAUUGAGCAGCCCUGCUCCAUGGAUCAGACUCUGAGUAGCACUGGCCAAAUUGAAUACAUACUCUGAAACAUGAAUUUAUUUAAACAAGUAAACUUGUAUCUGAUAUGGGGAUAUGAAGCCACAAAAACAAAACUGUUAAGAACAAGAAAUGAUUAAACAUGAAUGAGGUCUAAAAUUUUAACUAGCACUGAGAGUGUACAUAAUUGAUGCCAAACAAAUGUGAAUGCAAUCUGUUAUUCAUUCAACAUAUUUAUUAAGUACCUAUUAUGUGCCAGGAACUUUUCUAGGACUUGAGAAUAUAGCAGUGAAAAAGACCUACAAAUCCCUGAGUUUUUUUUCUGGUGGGGGAGAGAUUAAACAAGCAGAAAAAUAGUAUGGCAAGUUCACUGGUGGAAACAAAAUGGACUGAUAAGAUAGAGACCCAUUGUGUGGUAGGGUAUAGAGGAGCCCUAAAGAGUUGAAAUUUGAACUGAGAAUUGAAUGACUGCAAGUAGGUAAGAAGACGUGGAGGAAGCAUAUGCCAGACACGUCAUGAGGUAGAAAUGAGCUGGGAGAGGUUCAGGAACAGUAAAGGCCAAUGAGGCAGUGGCUCAGUUAGAAGAAGAUUGGAAGGAGACGAGGUCCAAGAGUUGGUCAGGAGUCAGACUUCACAGGCCAAAGCAAGGAGCUUGGAGUUUAUCUCCAGUGUUAUAGGAAACGACUAUGCAGUUGCUGGUCUGGUGGCGCUGUGGUUAAGUGCACACGUUCCACUUCAGCAGCCCGGGCUUCGCAGGUUCGGAUCCUGGGUGUGGACUUGGCACCGCUUGGCACACCAUGCUGUGUCAGGCAUCCCGCAUACAAAGUAGAGGAAAAUGGGAGCUCAGGGCCAGGCUUCCUCAGCAAGAAGAGGAGGAUUGGCAGCAGUUAGCUCACGGCUAAUCUUCCUCAAAAAAGAAAAAAAGUUUUAUGCAGUUCAGAGAUAUCAUAUUAGGUAAAUGUUUAAAAAGUUACUCUAAAACUCUUAUAGCUGUGUAGACAAUGUAUUUUAGGGGACUAGAGAGGAAGUUAGGGGACAGGCAAGAAGUUGUGGUGACUUGGACAUAUUAGUAGCAAGGAGGAGAAGUGAACAGAAUAUGUUUCUGAACAAUCAAUAGAAUUUUCUGACAUGGGGAAUGGAUAAAGAAAUGCGAAGAUUUGAUAAUACUACAUUUUUGUCCUUUAAACAAUGGGGUGAUGGUGACACGCUGAGGUGGAGAAAACAAGAAAGCAGUCAGUUUGUAGUUGGCUGAAUCAGGAGUCGAGUUUUUGUCAGGUUAAUUUGGAGGCGUCUAUUAGAGAACUAAGUGAAAAUGUCAAACAGGAAGUCACAUAUAUGAGUUUCAAGGUGAAGAGAGAAGUCAAUAUGAAAUUGAGUGUUUCUUGUGUCAUUGGCAUUAAAAGGCAUGAAACUAGAGAUUACUUAAGGAAAGAGGAUGGGAAGAGAAGACAUGAGGUCCCUUGAAGAAAUCCUAGGGCCCCCUGUCAGUUAGGAGAGUAUCAGAGGAGAAAAGUUAGCUUAGGAGACUGAGAAAGAGUGGGCGAGGUGCUAGAUGGGUCGUAAGUCAGAGGGAAAGAAGGGAGGGCAGUAACAAAACUAAAUUGACUAGCUGGACUGAGAGGGAGCCAAUAAGCUAGUUAGAGAGGGCAAGAAAAGGAACUGUAUAAUAAGGUGUGUACCCAAGGGGAGGAGGCGUUGUUCCAUCAAACCACAGAGUUCUCACUGAAUGUUAGGAGGGAUAUCCUAUUGAAAACAUCUGCAUCUAAAUAUCACACCACCUCCUUGGAUUAAUCCAUUAGACUUAAUAGAAAACUUAUGCCUUCUGUACAAAUAAUUUUGGGUGUCAUGUAGACUCAGGCUUAAAAAAAAAUCCAUUGUCAUUAUAAUUCUCAAAUUGCUUUUCUGCACCAGGAGCAGAAAUGAGAGGUUGAAAAAAAACUGGAAUGAAAAUGCAACUGAGACUUCAAGCUCCACUUUAAAUGUGCACGGCAAACACACCAGGCGUGCACAUUUUAAAAUAAAACAGAUGAGCUAUUUUAAAUGUUUUAUUGCAAAACUUAAAGAUUGUAGCUAUUACUAUUUAAAAAAAAAUAUUAGAAAGCAAUUUUUCUAUUCUUUGUACCUUUAAGUCCUUGGCUCUGAUGUUCUGCUCCUCUGACCUUGAUCUAAUCAUGAAUAUCUAUGCUACUUAAUUAUAAUAAAAAAAGCCUACAUUGCACUCUAGAUGGUAGAUGCACAUUUUUUCUUCUUUGGUCACCUGCCAGUUCUCAAAAUUAUAGCGGUGGGAAGAAAUGCAAAUGAAGGCUGUGCUUGACAGCUAAACAUAAUGGAAUGCAUGGUCCACAUUUGAAAAGUUACCUUAAAAUAAAAGGUAGCAUAUGAAAAAUCAUUUCUUUAAGGUCACCUAUGGCUUUGAAUUACAGCUUUGAGGAAUUUCCAAUUUAGUCAUCAGAAAGAAAGAAGCCAAAAUAAGGAUUAUAUACUUUGCUAGAAGGAAGACAGAGUUUACUUCAUCAUAGUUGGGUGAUCUUAUAACUUGGAAAUAGAAAACAAAACAAAAAACAACUCCAGAAUAUUCAUUUUGUAGAGUAUUGUGUAAAGUACACCACUGGUGAACAUUUUCUAUUAUAAUUUUACUUGCAGCUGAUAAAAUGUUUUCUUGUAAAUGUCCACAGAAAGGUUACCUUAUCACAUGUUAAAAUAUGUAACACAUGAACUACAAUAGGCUGGCAGUAAACAGAGUUGAUUAUAAAGAUCUGUUAUUUGAAGAAUUGUAUUUCUUUAUUCAGCUGAGUAUAUUUUCAAAUAGGAGAUUGGGAAGUGAAUGGAUGGCUGCUGCACAGCUAUUUAGAAAAUCGGAAUCUAAAAAUUAUGUAUGUACAUAUGUAUGUAUAUAUAUUACAAACACGCAGAAUUAUUUGAUAAUUACACACUCCAGAAAGUGCCAAAGUGGUCUUUCAAUAAACGUUUAUACUUUACAUUUUCUUCUUUCCUGCUAUUUGAGUCUGACAGAGACAAUGUCUCAGACGCAUUUUUGCACAUUGAACCCAUUCCACAGACUACCAGGAGCGCAUGUGCUGCUGAGCGGUGAUCCACAGACCACAGAGCUCUGAGAACAGGUGCAGAGGCUUCUGGGGGUGAUAUUUUCCCUGCUUCACUGACUGAGUAGAUGGUGUAAUAAAAUGAGCUCUAGACUGAGAAAAAUAAGACCUCGUUUCUGGUUCUACUUCCACCAUUUUCUGUGAGGUCUUGGGCAACUCAUUUAAUUAAAUUAUGUCUCCGUUUCAGCAGUCAGUUUAACAAUAGCAAACACUGAUCGAGCAUUUGCCACAUUCCAAGUAUUUAUAAGACACAGGAAUUUCUAAUCGUUUUCAUAAAGGGAUCAUUUCAACAUACUGUGGGAGAUGAAACAGUAAAGAUAUCUCAGGGUGUUACAGGAGCAGAGGUAAAGCAUAUGGAGUCUGGCCUGUAAAAGGAUAUACAGUGCCCCCCCGACCUACCUCACAGGUGUGUGGUCAAAAUGACCAAAGUAACACCAAAAGUAACAUUGGCGAAUGUGCUCAAUUUUUAAAAAUACAAGUGAUUGCACUGCCGUUAGUGGUAGUUGUAUAGAUAAGUAGUAGAAACAGUGGCAGUAGUCAAAGUACUACUAAAAGCAAAAUAUGUUAGAAAUUAAGUUCAGAGUUAAAUAAGACAGAUGAAUGGAUUGAGCAAAGGAACAGAAUAGAAACUCCAGAAAUUCAAGUGGCAGUAUACAAUGAAGAUGACAACUCCAAUUAGUGGGGAAAAUAUAGACUUUUUAAUAAGUGAGUUUAGAUAACUUAAUAGUCAUACAAAAAAAAAAGAUAAAGUUGAGUUCACUCUUAAAACCUAUUCUAAUACAAUUUCCAAAUGGGUCAGAGAUGCAAAGGUAAAAAAAAAGAAAGGAAAUAAUAUGAGUACCCAAAGAUAAUAUGAGUGAACUCCUUUACAAUCCGGGAGUGAAGAAAACUUUUCCGACAUGAUUCAAAAUUUAUGAGCAGUAAGAGAGGAGAUUCAUAAAUUUGACUUAUAAACAUAAACCUCCCCAAAAGACAAAAAACAAAAACUUAGGAAGUCUUAUGCUUGCAAAAUAACUCAAGAAGCAAAGUUAAAAAUAUGUGACAAACGGGAAAUAUUUGCAACUUCUAUCAUAGACAAAAAGUAAUAUCCCUAAUAUAUAAAAAUCUUCUAAAAACUGAAAGAAAAAAAUCCAAGGCCCUAUAGAAAAAAUGGACUAGAUAGAUGAACAGGUAGUUCACUUAAAAAAAGAACAAAUUGCUCUAUAGCAAUGAAAAGAUGUUCAACUUUCUCAUAAUUAGAGAAAUGUUAAUUAAAACCUCACUGAGAUGCCAUUUCCCAUCCUCAAAUUGGCAAAAAUCCAAAAGCUUGAUAACAUACUCUGUUGGAGGACUAUGGGGAAACAGGCGUUCUCAUACAUUUUUGGUGAAAACACAAUAUGGUACAACCACUACAGAAGGGAAUUUGGCAAUAUAUAGCAAAAUUAUCUAUGGAUUUACUUUCUGACUUAGCAAUCCUACUUGUAGGAAUCUAUCCUAAAGAUAUGCUGGGAAAAAAAUGCAAAGAGAAGUAUGCACCAAGAUAUUCAUUAGAACCUACAAAAGUAAAGAAAAAACUCAAAUGUCCAUCAAUAUAAGACUGGUGAAAGAGACAAUAGUUCACCACACAAUGGAAUACUAUGCAGCUAUAAAAAGGAAUGGGGAAUAUUUGUAUAUACAAUGGAAGCAAUCCGUAGGUUAUAUUAAAUGAAAAAAGCACAUGAGAAAAGUAUGGAUAAUAUGCUACUGCUUAUAUAAGAAGGGGCAAAAAUACAUACAUAUACAUAGAAACACAAGCACACAUAUGUAAAAUUUUAAUAUUUUCCUCUAUUAAAAUAAUAGAAGAAGAAUUCUUUAAAAAUAUGUAAAUGGACACCUAAAGGAAUGAGAGGAUACAUGAAUAUAAGUCGAACUUGUUUUGUACAUGGAUUUUUAGAAACAUGAAACUAUAUACACAAUUUAAAAAACUUAAAUUUUAAAAAUACCUCAAAGCAUAAAGGAAAAUGGAACAAAUGUGCUUAAUUGUGUUUAAAGUUAAGUUAGUGGGAUAACCAGACAGAGAGGACUAUACCAGGUGACUUUAAAACAAUAAUUUUAGUGUACAUUCCCAGGGAUUAUAACAUGAAAAAAAACUGCAAGAAGAAUCUUGAAAGUGUUUUCAAUAGCCAUAUUAGGAUAAAGCAAAUAUGCAAAUAUAUUGCUGUCAUUGAGAACUGGGAUUUUUGUCAUGGGAAGACGUCGAAAAAGAUCUGAGUUUGGUAAGGUUUAGUAAAAAUCUGUAGCACUGGCUUUGGUUAGGGUAUUACUAUCCUCCAUAAUGUACAUUAUCUUAGAAAGAAAAAAAAUUUCCAGCUUUGUGCACUGACAAGACCUGGAAACUGUGAUAGACUAAGUAGCUGUAAGCUGUAAGCUGCAAGCUACAAUGGGGAUGUAAGCAUCCCCAUUGAGAAGACUGUAGUUUAUAAAUACCGUUAUACACGAAAAGGAAACACAAUUCUUUGGAGAAAGAGAUGAUGCAAAGUUUAGGGGAGGAAAUCACGACCAGAGAAUAUCUUGGUAUACCAGAAAGCAGGGAAGCAAUCGGUGAUAACAGAGGCUUGUCUGGAGGACUCAGGCACCAGCAUGAAGACGACCCCACUGUCCAAAUAGGGAAAAAUUUGAGCAUCAAUAAUUGUAGUAGAUUGAAACACAUUGAAAAAUUUAAGUCCACGAAUUAACAGUAAUAGUUUAAAAAAACUGCUAAAGAUCAUCUUUAGAAGAUAUUGAAGCUCAAUUCAUUAUUUUGAAAAUCUAAAAAUAGAGGGAAAGAAUUAGACAUUUAUCUUCUUCUUCUUACAUAAACUGUGCCUCUGUGUAAUUAAAUGGUUGAUGAAGAGAGAUUUCUAUUUCUUCAGCUAAUAAAAGAAGUGUAGACUAUCACUACCUUGCAACCCCCAAAAGAGUAGUAGGCAAAAGUCAUCAAUGGAUGUUGACAUGGCGAAAACAGAGAUAGUCAGAUACUAUGCCUCUUGACUGAAGUACAUACUGCCAUCUAUGAAGGAGUUUUGCCCCCCUCAAUAAAAAAUCUGAAUAUGAUAGAGCAUCUAAGUCUAUCAGACAAUUUACAGGAAAUACAGAGGGAGAAAACCUGUGGGAUGAAACCAAGUGGAUGUAAUCAGCAAGAUCCAGAUGAUGGGAAAUGCUCUAUGAAAUGCUCAGAUUUCUUAAAAAAAAAUGAAAAGAGAGAGACAGAGAUGAAGAGGGGCCAUAUAUAUGGUUUAAGGGACAUACAUGCCAACUGCAAUAUAUGGGCCUUGUUUGGACUUGAUUUGAACUAUAAAACAAAACAAAAUAAAUUUAAAAAUUGGAAACAGAGAGAUUUUAAUAGUGACCAGAUAUUUGAUGGUAUUCGCUCCUUCCAUAUGUGUGUGUGUUAUAUAUGUUAAAUACUUUAAAAAAGACAUAAUCACAGUGUCAUUAUUACACACACACAUAAACGAAAUGUUAUAUUUAGUUUUUGCUUCAAAAUUACCAGGUGAGAUGGGGCAAAAGUGAAUGGAGAUGGGUUGAUAAUUGUUGAAGCUGAAGGCUAGAUAGAUGGAGUUCAUAUAUGAUUUUUUUCUACUUUUAUGUUUAAAAUAUUCCAUUAUUAAAACUUUUUUAACAAGGGAAAAAUAAAAGAAGAUAAGGAUUCUUGAGAUUCUUGCAGACAUUGUUACUCUUAAGUGUAAUAACUGGCAGAAUCUACAAAUUCUGUGAGUUGAAAGUGAAGUUAUAGGGAACCGAAUAGAAAAGAGAUGUGUCAAGAAAACCAUAAAAGCCAAAAAAUUUAAUGCAAAGCGUGAUUUACUUACAUUUUUCUGGCUGAUAGAUCAGGUUAUAGUGCAUCAUAGGAAAAGUUAUCAGAGCCAAAAGCGUAGACGUAAAAGGAAUAAGUAAAACCAGAGCCCAGGCCCCUGAGUGCCGGAUGUAAGAUAUUCCUGGAAAGAUAGCAGUUGCAUUUAGGUUCACGAUCCAAUAAAAAUUGGGGUACACAGACAGAUGAAAAUAAAAGUAUCAUUGAGAUACUUCCAAUAACAGCUGCUAAUUAGAAUGCUUUUACAUAAAUGUAAGCUAUAAAAUAGUGGCAUGUUAGACUUUGUAAAUAUUGUUUCUUAGAGUUCUUAAUAAGUGUAUCCACAUCACCUACGUCUUAUCAGUUUCAUUAUCUUUGUUUCAUUCCUCUUUAGAAUAGACGUAUAGUAUAUUCUCUUUUAUCUAAAGCAGCAGUUGACAAAUUUUUUUCUGUAAAGCACUUAAUAGUAAAUAUUUUAGGCUUUGCAGGCCCUAAGGUCUCUACAGCAACUGCUCAACUCUGUGUUGUGGCGCUAAAGAAGCCAUACUGCAUAGCUGAAUACACCUACUGAACCUGGAAAAGGUAACGUGGUUAAGGAGUUGGGUCUUCCUAUUUAUUCCACUUUUCAAAGUAUGGGAAAACUCAGGAACACUCAGGUUAUACCCAGACCAUGCAUUAAACCAAAGAAAUGAGUGUCAUUUGCAUAAAACUUUUAGCGUCUCCUGUAAAGAUUAGUUUUACAAAUAAGUACCCAUCCCAAUGGUCUGUUUUGCAAGUUCUGAGGAAAUCACUUCUCCCUCUCAACCCUUCAUUGGGUGUAAAUCCUGCUGUUAGAAUCCCAUUGCAGGGGGGAGGAGGUGUCUUAACAUUAACUUAAAACAAUUAUUGAGGUAAAAUUAAAUAUGAUAAAAUUUACUCAUUUAAAUAUAUAGCUUUAUGAAUUUUGGUAAAUGUUUCAGUUGUGCAAACACUAAUAGAUCUAAGUUUUAGAACACAAAUUAUCACAAAAAUUUAAAGGGCUUAGCUGAUUAGAUCAGGCCCACCCAGGAUACCCGGAUAAUCUCCUCUUUGAUUAACUCAAAAGCUGAUUCGAGACCUUAAUUGCAUUGCAAAUCCCUUCACCUUUACCAUACAACAUAACAGAAUCAGGGGAUGAUAUCCCGUCAUCAUUGCCAUGUUCUGUUGUCUAGAAUCUGGUCACAGGUUGUUUUCCACACUCAGGGGGAUGGGUCUAUCAAGAGUGUGACCUAUUCAGGGUCAUCCUAUGGUAUUUCCUGUACAUCUUCUAAUUGAUCCUUCCUUCCCUCCUUCCUUCCUCCCUUCCUUCCCUCCUUCCUUCCUUCCUUUCUUCCUACCUCCCUUCUUUCCCUCUCUCCUUCCUUUUUGGCUUUCUCCCUUCUUCUUCUCUACUUUCCUCUACAUGAAAGAAGAAGCAGAGUCAACAGGUAAGACUGGCUAUGGGAAGGGGAUAUUGAAGGCUUGAGAAGAAAGGAAAAGAUCAGAAAUAGUCACACGAGGAAGACGAUAGGGAAGGAGUGGAAACCGUAAACUUGCUAGGCGAUGGUAACGGGCUACUUGAGGUUGGUCAUGAAGUUAAUGUGAACAUAGCACGAUUUUGGCAUUUUUCUCCAGACUUGUUUGCCUGUGUGAGUACAGUAACGGAACAGGCGGAGAGCUGAAUUUUACCCAGGAUUAUUUCCUCUGUUGCUCAGAAGAGUACUGCAAAGUGAGGGGAGGGAGAGGGAGGAAUUACAUUGUUAAUUAAUUGAGGAGCAGCCUCUUUACCCCACCUCAUUCCACUUGCUGUUGGAAAUGGAGUCUCGGUUCCCUGCUGUGCCCAGCUGACAGGACCCAGGAGGGCGGAUGGGAGCACUGCCUGUUUCUGGUGGGCAGGGGAUGGAAGACCUCUCUUUGCUUGGCCCGAACACCACCACUCAGGCUGGGGAAUCAGAGUGUCCCUGCCUGCUUCUGCUCAAGUGUGUGUAUGUGUGUGUGUGUAAAAUAUUAGAUUCCUGUUUCUUGCUGAAACAAUAGGGCCAGAGGGGCGGAGGGAAUGCAGUCUUUCCAGAGUGUUUGUCUGAAGUAGGGCAACUAUUGUCAAACAGAUUAUCUCUUAUGUUAGGCUACUAUUUUUCUAGUACUUUGCCUAAGGGGAGCAGACUUUUCUGGGAUCUUCUCCAGCUCUCCCCCAACCCUUGCCCCCACCAUACCUCUUGCUGCUGCCAGGUUAUAGAUUUCUCCAUUGCCCUGACUGUUGGCAAAAGGAAAACUCACUGCUGUCCUCUCUCAAGUUCUAAGAUCUCUAGGUAGAGACUCUCUUCUUUCUUCCACCUUUCAGAACCUUCCUAAGUUUGCUGUGUUAUGUCAGGGUUUUUAAGAUAUAAAAAGGAGGACCUGGAAUGAAUGGGGCUGCUCUCUUGGCCUAUCCCGGAAAUUCUCUCUGUUCCUUCAGUUGGGUAAUUUGUCUUCUUGUUGUUGAUUUGUAAAAGUUCUUUAUAUGUUCUCCAUGCAUGUCUUUUGUCAGAUAUAUGUACUACAAAUGUUCUCUCCCAAUCUGUGGCUUGCCUUUUUAUUGUCUUAAUAAAAUCUCCUGAUAAGCAAAAGCUUUUAAUUUUAAUAAAUUUUGACUCAUCAAUUUUUUUGUUGGUUCAUGCUUUUUGUGUCCUAUGUAAAGAAUACUUUCUAAAUGCAGGUCACAAGUUUUUCUCCUUUUUUUUUUUUCAGUGGUUUUAUAGUUUUAGAUCUUUUGUAAGGUCAAUGAUCCACUUUGAAUUAAUUUUUCAGUAGGAUGUUACGGGUAAUCUUUUUCUAUAUGAUAUACAGCUACUCCAGCACAAUUUAUUGACAACAUGAUCUUUUCUCCAUUGAAUGUUUUUAGCAGCUUUUUGGAAAAUCAAUUGGCCAUGUAAACGUGUUAUUUUUUCCUGAUUCUCAAUUCUUUCUGCUAAUCUCUCCUUGUGCCAAUACCAUACUGUCAUUACUGUUGCUUUUUUCUCUUUUUUAAACAGCUUUAUUGAGAUAUAACUGACAUAUAAUAAACUGCAUAUGUUUAAAGUGUACAAUUUGAUGUUUUGACUAUGUAUCUACCCAUGAAAUGAUCACCACAUUCAAGACAGUGAACAUAUCCAUCAUUCCCAAAAGUUUCCCUAUGUCCCUUGAUAAUCCCUCCCUAUUGCUUCUUCUUGCCAUUUCCUCAUCUCCAGGCAACCACUGAUCUUUUCUGUCACUAUUGGUUAGUUUGCAAUUAAAUAGAAUUAUCAAGUAUGCACUCAUUUUACCUGGCUUCUUUCAAUUAGCGUAAUUAUUUUGAGAGUCAUCCGUGUUGUCAUGUUUAUCAGUAGUUCAUUCCUUUUUAUUCACAAGUAAUAUUUCAUUAUAUAUAUAUAUAUAUACUACAACUUAUCUUAUUUAUCCAUUUAUCUGUUGAUGGACAAUUUCCAGCUUAUGGCUAUUACAAAUAGUGUUGUUAUCAACAUUCAUGUGUAAGUGUUUGUAUAGCUAUAGACUUUCAUUUCUCUUUAGUAAAAACUUAGGAGUGAAAUGGCAGGGUGAUAUGGUGGAUGUAUAUUUAACAUUUUAAGAAAUUUUCAAAUGGUUUUCAAGUGGUUGUAACAUUUUACAUUACCACCACCUGUGUGUGAGAGUUCUAAUCCCUCCAAAGCUUGGGCAACACUUGGUAUGGUCAAUCUUUAAUUUUAGCCAUUUUGAUAGACGGUAUCCCAUUGUGGUUUUAUUUCGCAUUUCCAUGAUGACGAAUCAUAUUGAGCAUCUUUUCAUGUGCUUGAUGGCCAUCUGUAUAUCAUCUUCGGUGCAGUUUCUCUUCAAAUAUUUUGGCCGUUUUUUAAACAUUGAGUUGUUUGUUUUUUUUUAUUAUUGAGUUUUAAGAAUUCUUUAUAUAUUGUGGAUACAAGUUCUUUAUUAAAUAUGUGAUUUGCAAAUAUUUUCUCCAGUGUGUGGCUCAUUCUCUUAAUAGUACCUUUUGAAGGGCAGAAAUUCUUAAUUUUGAUGAAGUCCAAUUAUUUUUUUUUCUUUGACAGAUCAUGCUCGUAGUGUCGUAUUUGGGAAAUCUUUACCUAAAUGAAGGUAAUAAAAAUUUUCUCCCUCUUUUUCAGAGAGGAAAUCUGAGCGCUGGAGAACGGAAGUGACUCAGCUGUGUUGCUGCAGAGCCAGCAGUAAAAGCCACCUGUUCUGGUGCAGCCUCUAAGGAGAGGCUAACUGGGCUAGAAUGGUGGUCAGAAGAGAUGAGUUUGAGUCAUAGCUCUGACAGUCACAUGAUCUGUGAUCUUAGGCUCUCUGGAAUUCCAAGUCUUCAUUUUAAAAAUAAGGAUCAUACCUGCUGGACAGAGUUUUUUCAAAGACUGAAUGAAGAACACAGACUAGCUGCACAGUGCCAAGCAAAUGUUGUUGCUGUUCUGAAUUUUUCUCCACUCUCAAUUUCAGGAAGAAAAAGAACAGUGAAGUUGGAGCAUAGUGAGAAAGGAAAAGAGCUUUAGAAGAGAAGAUCCAGCAGAUGCUGCCACAGCAUGGCUUGACAAGUCGUGUGUAGGUCUGCACCUGAGAUCAGAACCCGAGAACCCCAGGCUGCUGAAGCAGAGUGCAUGAACUUAACCACUAUGCCACCAGGCUGGCCCCAAGGGAAACGCUUUAUUUUAAUGCUAAGUAUUGCUGAGAAAAUCCAGGAGGACGCUGUGUGACUCUUUAGUACACAACAUGGUGAUGUAAACUGAAUUACUCUAAAGAGGGUCAAGGAAAAUUACAAUUAUUCCAAGACUUAAAUCUUGUGAAAGGUAGUUAGAAACCAAAGAAUUAUGGUGCUGAGUAUCUAUGUAUGGAAAGAGAUUUCACAUAAAGUACUAAAUGCGUUUUUAAUGAAUGCCACCCAACCUAUUUGAUUUGUAAUUUUCUGAAAGAAUGACCUAGUACAGGCAUGUUUUAUAUAUGUCUUUGUUGAUCCAUGGACAGGACUAGCCACAGAUAAUUAAAGGUGAAAUUGUAUAUGUACCAACUGUAAAAAAAUAAAAGAAAUAAAAAUCCACAGUCUUCAAACUCACCAUUAAGACUCCUUUCAUCUCAUAGCUCACUAGCAAAUUGAAUAUAUAAAGCACCUCUCACCCAGAAAGUCAGAGAGCAAAGCACUAAAGCAAAACAAAUACCAGUGAUUAAGGAAAAUUGAAAGCAGCAGUAAAAAUAAGUUUCUUUAGUCUACUUUUAAAUACAGACUAGGAACUGCAAAUAAGUGGUAAUUUUUUCUGUCUUUAUGAUUCUAUGGUGUUGAAUGCAAAUAAGGAAACAAAACUUGUUGCUGCAAAACUCAGCAAUCCUUUUGAGAUUAUUUACUUUAAACAUUCACCUUAAUUUAUCUCGUAGUAAUUUUUAAAGUCACUCAAAUAUUUUGUCAUUUCUUAGACUGACCGAUUUUGACAUGCUUCAGACUUUUUAAGUGAUUUUAGAGAAACAGUUUAAAAUGAUCUUUCCUAACUUGAAAAGGUGUCAGUGAGGGGAGGUACUUGCAGGUCUUCAUAGCAGUAGUGGACAAUUUGAAGAGUUCAAAGAGAAGGUUUUAUUCUGUAUUUAAAAAUAUUGAGAUAAUUCACUGGGGAUUUGCGGCUCUUCAAUGGGAUAAAAUUGGACGACUUAGAAGAGUCAGGGAAACACUUGGGCUCUGAUUUCAUGGUGGAUGGCUGUUGUGAACUCUUGCUUCUUUUAGCAUAACCAUUGGCCCAUCAAAGUUCUUCAAAGAACACUCUGGCUGUCAUGAAUUUGGAGAAAGAAGGAGCAAAGGGAAAUCUUACAGUCCUCACUUUUUGUGUAUGUGAGGAAAAUUCGCCCUCAGCUAACAUCCCUUGCCAAUCCUCCUCUUUUAUUUGCUUGAAGAAGAUUAGCCCUGAGCUAACAUCUGCACCGGUCUCCCUUUACUUUGUAUGUGGGAUACCUCCACAGCAUGGCUGACUCCUGGAGUAGGUCUGCACCUGGGACGCUAACCUGUGAACCCAAGCCACUGAAGUGGCGUGCAUGCAACUUUAACCACUCGGCCCUGGGGCUGGCCCUUACAGUUCUUAUUUUUUAUCUAUAAUUUUUUUCAACAACGCUGUUAAAUGAAAGGCAGUUUAAUAAAGGCAGAUCAUUGGUUUUGGUGAAUAGACAGCAAGAUUAAGGUAAUAGUUAUAUUUUUAAUUAAGAAAUUUGGGGCAUGCCUGUCUUUCUCUCCCUUUUGCUUUUUUUUUUUUUUCUUUGCUGGUAAAGUUUCACCUUAAGCUAACAUCUGUUGCCAAUCUUCCUCUUUUUUUCUUUUUCCUCCACAAAGCCCCAGUGCAUGGUUGUGUAUCCCAGUUUUAAGUCCUUCUAGUUCUUCUAUGUGAACCGCCACCACAGCAUGGCACUAGGCUAUCAGGGCUGGCGCUCUCUCACUCUUUUAACUUGCUGUCAUUCCCUGUCUCUUUUUUCCCUUUCUUUUGUCAACAUCCCAAUUUUAAUAGUGUUUAUGUCAUUUUCUCAUUUCCUGAGUGUAAGAUCUUUGAACCAGUGCGUGUUUACUGAUGAAAAUAAGUCCUUACUCACACACCUGCCAAGUUUAAAAGCAACCAAACAGGGCUUAAGGAAAAGCAGGAGGCGACAGAAGCAGUAAGAAAUUUGUCUUUCUUCUUUUUUUCCUCAAUAUUCUUUGGUAUCCAUAGUUCUAUUUUGGAGAGGAAUUCUGAGUGUAUUUCCUGAAGGCUUACAAUUUUAGCAAAGGUGAAGAAGGAGGUGCCUGCUGUUAUUAGAGUGAGCGGGUAGCAUUUGUUAAACUUCGCUACACCCCACGCAAAUAGAAUUUUGGCAGGUCUAGUGAUUUUUUUAAAGUUAUUUACAGGCUAUUCCUCAGUAUGCAACUCAGAGGAUAUUUUGAGUAUUAAUGUGUAUUAAUAAGAUUAUCCCAUGAGCUGCUUUGCUUUCGUUGGCUGAAAUGCACCUUAUAAAUUAUGAUUUCGCUAUUGCUGAAUAACAUAGAUUCAUAUUUUGUUUCUCUUCUCAAGGAUUAGGUAGAAUUUUUCAUUCAGGCAGAUUUCUAAAUGGGUAAGAAAUUGCUAUGAAUCAUGAAAAGUUUCCAAAGCAGGCUGGCACCCAGGGGGUGCACUCAAACAAUGUUUAGUUCCAUUUCUUUUAAAAGCUCUUUCUAGAUCACUUUGGAAUGCUCUCAUGUCUCUGGAAUUGUUUCGCCAGUUAUGCUCCCAAGUAAUUCUCAUCUAGGAGGUUGAGGAUGGGGCCUAGGAAACGUUUUUAAACAAAGCCCUCAUGUGAUUCUUAAAAUUAGGCAACACUGUCUGAGAGCAGUGGUUCUCAAACCUGAAUACUUAGGCAGCUUUUAAAAAAAUCUGGAUCUCUGGGACCCACCUCAAACUGAUAUACUCGGAACCUCUGAAGGCAGGGCCCAGGCACCAGUAUUUUGGAAGAGGCCUCUGUCGGCUUUCAUGUACAUCUAGGAUGAGAAUCACUGCUUUCAUACAACGCUGAAGUGAAUGUUAAAACAGCUUCUGGAAAAAUGCUGUGGGAUAAUAAGUUUUUACCUCUAGUGUUUCCCUAAGUUACAAGAUGCUAAAUACGAGUAAGUAAGUAUUAAAAUCAAAACUUUUUCAUAUAAAACAGAUAUUAUGUAGGGUCAAUUUGAGUACCAGAUAUUCAAAAUUUCUGGGAUGCAAUAAGUCAGACUCUAGAAUUUUUCAAAAACUUUAGCUAUAUCCUAUUUGGUCCUUUAAAUCAUGCAUAAUUCACUCUGGUAACUGGUUAGCAACAGACUAUGAUAUGCAGAUGGGAUGCAAAUUAUCAGGUAAAGGAAGUAGAGAAAUGUGAAAGCAAGAUUUGAGGUUAAUUGUGGUAGAAUUUAAAAUUAUGCUUAUGAAAAGACUUAAUUAUCCACCUUUCUUUUUGCUUCCAGAAAAGAUUCUGCACAGGUGUAUUUGCCUAGAUGAUCUCCAGUGUGGUGACUCUUAAUUGUACACCUCAGAUUUUGGAAAAUGCUGAAAGAGCCAGGUUCUGAUCUGGAUAAUUACAUAAAGAUGUUGGCAGAUUACUAUGCCUCUUGAUUUUAGGGAGUUUAGCUUUAUUCUUUCAAUGAGGUACAUAGUUGAGGAAGAUCCAGUACCAGAUGGCAAUGUUGGCUAGGAGUGGUUUUCUCACCUACAUUUGGCAGCUCUACUCGGAAGCAGUGCUUUCAAUGCCUGAGACUUCCAGUCUAUACUACUUAACAGGAUCAUUGGGAAGCUUUAGGUGGUAUAGAUGCAAUGACACAUCUCAUUAAAGGUCCUGUAACUAUGAACAUCUGACAUCUGUGCUGAAAAUAGAACUGGAGGCAGCUUUCAAGUGGUUAUAGAUUCAAGUAGUAUGUUGUUUUUUAAAGACAUGACUGCAAUUUGUUAUAUUAACCAGGCUUAUAAUUUCUAGAGGCAUUUUUGACUUGGAGACAUAGAUUAUAAGUUAACGGCUGCCCAUUUUAAAGAUGACCUCCUCCUAAAUGGGUUCCCUCUUUCCCAGAAUUAAGACAAUGAUUUUAGCUGAUGACAUUUGUCAUUUAAUAAUAGCAGUAGCGAACAUGGUUUGAAAAGCUAUAAUGUGCUGGAAUUCUUUAUAUAUAAGCUAUACAACAGCCGUGCAAGCUGGCUGAGGGUCCUGGGGCUCUGAGAGGUUAAGGAACAUGCUGAAGAUCAUAAAACUCCUAAGGAUCUACCAGCUAUCUGGCUGCCCAGCAGGAUGUCUGUCCAUCUUGCAGCCAACCCCUGCAGUAUGUACAGGAAUAGAGUUAGCAUUCAUUUCUACAAGUUGCAACAAGCGCUUGUUCAUAAAAGUUUUCCUUUAGUUUUGUUUUUAAACUUAAAAAACCCACAAAAAACGGAAACAGCCAGGUUCAGCCUUCAAGAACUUGCCAUCUAAAUAGUCCUUUAUCACAUUAAAGAAUAAUGCUCUGAUUCUUUAUACAGAUUUCUAGGUGCUUUCAUUUUAGCUUUUAAAAAUAGUGCAUGAUUUUUUUUAUCAGAGAUUUUAAUGACGUUAGGAAAUAAUAAGUAACCAAAUCAAAACGUGUUCAUCCCACAUUUAGCCUGGCUCCUCACAGCUGCAGAAAUUCAUUUUCACCCCAUUACCCCACCCCCUUCCCAAAGUCCUAAAGCACAAAUCCAUUGGGAGUCCUCUCCGUUUCCCAAAAGAAAUAUUUCAUUCAUAUAAUGUCUCCUUUGUAAUCAACACUGAGAAAUGUCACUUUGAUUAAACACAACUCUGAAUGACUAAGACCACAGUACAAUAAAUUCUCCAGAGCUAUCUUUCAGAGCAACUGAUUGCUCUCCAGUCUUAAUCCUCCAGAGUCUUAUUUAAUCAAAAUGAUGUUGCUAAUUAAGGAUUAAAACCUCCGAAUAGAAUAAAAAAGAAGGAUUUUUCUUUCUCCUUUGGGCAGGUCAAGGAGGCAGAAUUUGUUAUAAGGAAGUAAAAAGUCCCUUCCACCUUUGGUAAAAUUGCAUUAUUCUCUGACGUUGGACUUAAUCCAAAAUAGGCUUGAGUCUUUUGUAAUAUUAAUAUAAUUGAAGAAAGAGAAAGAGAGAGGAAUAAAGGAGAAAAGAAAGUAAAGGAAGUAAGGAAGGAAGAAAGAGAGACAGAGAGAGAGGGAGACAGAAAGAAAGGAAGGAAGGAACGAAGAAAAGAAGGAAGAGAGAGAGAGAAAGAAAGUAAGAAAAAAAGAAGGAAAGAAAUGAACGAACACCCUGCCCUGGAUAGCUACAUAUACCUAGAUAACAUUUAUUCUAAAAUUUUUUCAAUUAAUACUUUUAAUAUGAAUUUUCUUCAACAUUUUGUCUGAUGCUGUCUGUGCAUUGCUUUUAUCUGUUACUAACAUUGAUGGAAAGACAGUACUUUAGAAAAAUGUUGGCAACCCAUUUCACAGAAAAGAGGAAACAGAAGACAACGUAUGUCAGAUCUAUUUGACAUCCACUAAUGAAUACCAAUAACAAAAACAAAAUUCUCUAUUAAAUGCUAAAAUUCUCUACUUUAAGAACAAUAUUUCAAUUUUUCUCUUGAAUUUGUAGUCGAUAAUAAAAAUUGGUUCCUUAAAAACACAUAAAACUGCACAAGAACUCACUGAGAGAGACAAAGAUUCUCAAAAGUGAUUUUUAUGGAAUACAAACUCUUUUAGGUGUUGGGGUGAAGUGAAUGCAAAACAGAGGUGCUGGUUGAUGUUUUAACAAAGGGCAAAACAUUUCUUCCAUCCUUUUCAUCUUCUCUCUGCACUGGCCUGUGAAUUUCUAACCCCUGCCAAAUUAGUCAAUUACGAUGUAAUAAGUAAUAACAACAGCUAGCAGGUAUUGAUCACCUAUUAUGUACCAGAUUCUCUGCCAGUGAUCUGCACAUUAUUACCUCUAAUAAAACCCAAGAAGAGGUAUUAUUAUAAACCCUUUAGAAAUGAUUAAACUGAAGCUUAUAGAGAAUAAACAACUUGACCAAGGUCAGGCAUCUUGUGCUAAGUAGAGGUGAGAAUUCCAUUCAGCCCUCUUCAUCUCCAAAGCCACGUUCUAUUCAAUAUGACAAACCACUUCAGACUUGUUUACUUAGAGGUCAAAUUUCUCAAUGAGUUUCUAGAAGGUUCUGGUAAACUGUGUUGGUCUGUAUCUGACUCAUAUGCUCCGACGAUUUCUGACUGAAUCAUUGCCGCAGGCACCAUCACAUUGUCAAUUACCCAGCCCAACCAAUGACAAAGACUGAACUACUACCAUCAAAAUGGGACUGGAGAGCAAACAAUGAGAAAUCCCAAAAGGGAGAGGAAUGUCCUAAACCUCGUUUUCUCUCCUAACCAGCGUUACUUACCAAUUAAAAAAAGACAUUCAUUUCUGUGAUCCAUACUCCUGAAGGCUGUAAGCAUCCAGUGGACAAAUGAUGCCUCUUAUUCCUCCCAUGGUGAGGCAGAUGGCCAACAGUGGUACAUAAAACAGCCUGUUCCACUCGUUUUUUGGUAUGUUGUUAACCGUAUGGUAAAUACCCACAUAGAAAUCUUCCAAGGGGAAAGCAACCACAGAUAGCAAAGCAGUGCCUGUAAAUAGAGAAAAAGUGAGAAUAAAUAUGGCACAGACCAACUGAAUCACCAAAUCACAUCGUAAAUAAGGUUUUCUCUCUGUAAGUAGCAUCAUUAUAUGAUUGUCUUAUUAAAAUACUUGUUAAUCAUUGCAAUUCAGGAGAUAGCAUGAUUUUUCUAAACGUGAAAAUUUCCUCCAAUAUGCGCUUUAACUAAUCCAGAGUCCUAGUCACCCCCCAAGCUUGAACUAUCUUUACUCUCAGAAUGUAUACACAAAUCAUGUCCAUUUUAACAAAAUUAGUGCUAUGCAAAAAUACAUCAUGUAAGAAGCUAAAAAUUCCUGUAAUCCCACCCCCAGAGAAAACCACUGCUAACAAGGGUUAUUUGUUCUUAAUCAAGAGAGUGAUAGAAAGCUCGAUGAUCUCAGACACCUUAGAAGCCUGUUAAAUAAAGUGUUUUAAGGAGAACAUCAUUGUAGUUGGAGGAGAACAUAGACUCUCUUUUCCUUUUCUAAUUCUCUUUCUCCUUUUAAUGCCCUUCUUAUUUCUCUCACUUCUCAUGCAGCUCGGUGGAACUUUCUUUGUCCCACACAGAGGUGAGAAGGCUGAGGAGAAGGAUGUGAGGGUGAAUGACGCAGUACAAGUGGAAAAGAGGGGAGGACAGAAAGUGAUAACAGAGGGUUGAGUAUUCUUCUCACUUUCAUCUUGCAGAGACCAUACUGGAAGAUUUUUCUUGUCUAAUAGAAAUUAUAAUUCAAUUCCAUACUUUUGCUAAGCUGUUUAUGUUCUGCAAAACAUUUUGCAUACCAUAUUGUUUCAUCUUGGAAAAACUUUGCGAUGUCAGGGUAUAGAUUUUCUUUUUUUUGAAAAUAUUUAUUUUAUUGCAUCAUUUUACUGACUAGAACAUCAAAUUUAUAGUGGAUAUAAGUAUAAAAAUAACUGAAUUCUUACAAAUAAAACUUUGCUGCUACAGUACUGAAUAAUUAGUGGAGGUUGCAAUUAUAAUACAACUUUAAGUAAUAUUCUCAUAAUGGAUUUAAUACAAUCAAUCAGGGACUAAGGUUUAAAGGUUGCAAAGAGAAAUUCAGGAAAGCAUGAAAACUCAAAGUGUUAAUAUUCCAGCUACAUGCUCCGUUUAACCGUAAAACCAGCAACAUAAACAUGAAUAAAACUCAUGUCAACCCAUGAUGAAGCAUCUUUUUUUAAAGAAAGAGGCCAAGGUUCAAUGAGGUUAAGUGACUUGCCUAAUAUUAUAGAAUAACCCAGAUGUAAUCUCCUUCUUCUUGGAAUUCCUGUCGUCAAGUGGUCAAAUCAUUAAUUUUUUUUUUUGUCGGUUUGAUUAGUGAAAAAUAGCCUCUCCAUGUUAGUAGUGUCUUCCAUUUUCUUCAUGUGGCAUUCAUAUUGUUUUGUAUAAAUUUUUUAUAUGGUUGCUUUAUGUGGUUAGUUUUCUAAAUCAGACUAUAAGCUCCUUCAAGACAAAAGUUUGGCCUAAUGUUUCUGUCUCCCUUACAGUGGGUUUCACAAUGUGAAAAAUAUAUGCACACAAUAGUUAUUUGAUAACAGGUUGGUUUACCAUGAGUGUAGGCCCUUUAAAUGAUUGAGUUUGAAAUGUUUCCUAUCAAGGUUAGCCAGAUGUGCAACUAACUGCUCUCUCUCUGUCACUCAGUCUUUGUCUUGGAAGCGUGACAUGAGGCCUGGCUUAUCCAAAGAGGAUGGACAGAGAAACUGCUUCUUGCAGCAACCAUUUAUUUAGAGACAAAGCACUUUUAGUGGUACCUUUGUGUCCGUUAAAAAGGCACUUUGUUUCUAUCUUUUAAGAAAAUGUCAUAAUAUACUGAUGUCAUUAGAUCAAAACUUUAUUUCUAUCAGCUGUCAAAUUGAUGUAGUAAGAAUACAAAUCAAUGACAUUUAUGAUAAAAAGUUUUCUCUUUGAUCCGUGGUAUUGUGCUCCACAUAAUGAGCAUACCUGUACGUGUAGCUCUGUAUAAAGCACCAAGAUGUGUCAAGAGUAGUGGGGUCCACUGGCUCUUUUCUCCAGAAGCUAAUGAGUCCAUCAGGGAAGGCAGACAUGCAGGUAGACAACUACAUUGUAGUGGAAUAAAUGCAGUCAUAGAGGGAUGAUCAGAGUGUGACUGAGCACAGAGAAGCAAGCAACAAACGCUAUAUGGGUGUGGAAGGAAGGGCAGAAGUUUUCACUUUUUGGAUACAGAGUGGAAAGAUAAAGGAAGGUGACAAUUUCAGGCCUAGAAAAGAGGACUUGUAAGAUUAAAGAAGGAGGAAAGCAGGCAAGGAGAAGUUCAGCAUGGUUGAGUUCAUCUAUUGAGACUGAAGUCUGGAGAGGUAAAUUUGGGACAGAUUGUAAAGGUUUGUAUGUCCUAAGCUGGAUUCUAUGUCUUAGAUAAUAAAGUCAAUAUAUAGGUUUGUUUUUUCCUGAAGUCAAUGUUAUUGAUAGACAGGUGUAUGGACUGGAGUCACUGAUAACUGAUGGUCCAGUCAGUAGGCCAUGGUAACGGUCAAGAAAAAGAAAGCUGCGUUUUUGAGCUAAGGUUGUAGCAAUUCAGACAGAAGAUAUAUUUUUGAUAGAACCUCUGAUAUUUAUUCAUCAGCUGGAAUUUGAUGGCAGCCUUGAGUAGGGGACACAAGAAAAUAACUUUUAGUAAGAAGAUGAAUAGACAGGGAACUGACUGAGGUCUUUAUUUGCCAAAUUCCAAAGGUGGACCUUUAGUCCGAAUCUGAUGACUUACACAGGAAUUUAGACUGAUAGGAAUUACCACUUUACCAACCCCUACUGAUAUGGCCUGUUACCAAGGUAAGAAUGGCAGAUCAUUCAAGCCCUUGCUUAAAUGCCUACUUAUCAGAAAACAAUCCCCCCUACAGAACAGCAACCUUGUCACUGUCCAGUGCAUCUCAUCCCCUUGACCAGCUUUAUUUUUCAUCAUAACACUCGUUAACAUAUGGCAUAUCUAUUUACUUGUUUCUUUUCUCUCUCUCUGCACCAGAAAGUCAACUUCAGCAGAGAAGAGACUGCUUUCUUCUCUGUUACCUUCCGAAAUCCUGGAACAAUGCCCGGCACAUAGGACUGGAUAAAGAAUAUUCAUUGCCAUGCAGUGACUUAAGUUUUAUUUCAAAUUAUUCUAAUUUUUGGAACUAAAGCAGGGAAGAGGUUUAUAAGUUUGAAUCACCCUCUAAUCCAUCCUGUGAAUGGCAAGUUAUCACGUGCCUGGAAUUGUGUGAUAUGUUGAAUACCUGAUAUCCAUCCCUUCCUCAUUCAUCUCUUCCCCCAUCCCCUAAACCUGCAUCUGUGCUGUACUUCUCAGUAUUAGUGAACAGCACACCACCUUCCUAAGUUCCUCAGCUCAGAAACUCGGAGUUAAUUUUUGUUCCUCUAUCAUAUUUGUGCCUUUAUUUAGUUUCCGAGUUUUUUUGGUUUUUCCCAUGUUCUCUCCUGGAUUGACAUGUCUCCGUUGUCUAGGCCAUCAUCCUGAGAGUUCUGGUCUCUGUCUAUUUAACUUCUCAUUGUGGUUGCCCAUCCUGUUUACUGAAGAAAAGCACUUCCCAAAUGUUUUCUUUGUAUCUUCAGUGCCUCCUUGUUGUCUAGAGAACAACUUGAACUUCUCAGCCUAAAAUUCUAGAUUGUUCAUCAAAUAUCAAACAAUCUUGAUAUUUCCUCAACAUUUGUAGCAAUCAAUUCACUCCCAAGCUUUUGUGAAUAUAUUUAUUUUUCUAUAUAAAGAAGCACACUGUAGGAUUUGAAUUAAUUCAUUUUUUUUAGAAUAACUGUAGUUCAUAAUAUAGAAAUCAUGUCUUCAUAUGCAAUCUUAAUUACUAUUUGACUAAUUAAAAGACCACCUUUUGAUGAGAACAUUCCUCAAUUAUUCCACAUGAACUUUAAAAACCUUUUUAGCACAUUUCGUCUUAGUUGUGAAGCAAAUGAACUUCAUGUUUCACAUAGAAUUUGUCACAAAUUUAGACUUGGAGUAGGAAGGGGGAAAAGGAGAGUUUUCUAAGGAGUACAGAAGACAGACACAUAAAGAGGUAAUUAUUAUGAAAUAUAAUCAGUGCAAUGAUAUAGGUAUUAAAGCUUCCUCACAAACACACGCACGAACAUUUACUAGCAUCUCUCAAAUAAUACAGAGAAUGAAAUAAAUUGAAACAACAUUCUCACUUCAUUUAUCACAUUUUAUGCUAAGAGUAAGUUAGGAAUAACAUGAACUAAAACUUCCAACAAAAAUCUAUCCAAUUAGGUUGCAAAACAACAGUCAGAAGAGGACACUCACGUGGAAAAUGUAGAAAUAAACAAAUAUAUACCAGUUUAUUUCUUCCUAGACAGACAUCAGCAAGCCAUCUCGCAAACACAGGGGUAAGUAUUGAAAUUCCAGUAAAACACAAGUUCAAAAUGGCUGCCUGGGAGUUGCCAUAGCCAAGCUUGACGGCGCAAAAAGGGAUCAUAUUGCAGACAACUUCAAAGAAAAUGAACCUCUCACACAGCUCCACCAGAAGCAAACAGAUUCCAACCUGAAUUUUUUCGCAGAGUCUGAUGAAGAGAAACAGCCAACAUGUCUUAUAGUUUUCUCCUUCUUAAAGCUGUGAUUUAAGGGUAUUUUCUCAUCAGUUAUUUUAAAAUCUGUAACAGACUUGACUACCUUUCUUGAAUACAGCUUAUGUUAGUGAUUUGAACUUGGUGAUUUUUACCUCCCCCCUCUACUGAAAAAUAAAUAAUAACUUUGCUUUGAAUUUCACACCUCCAUGCUAAAGUUUCGUAAGGGUUUUUGCACAUUAAUGCUG
rnacentral:lncRNA from 1 species